CAGAGGUGCUUGGUGCUGGUGCAUCAAGCAGCUGCUGAGGAUUUUAUCAUUGGCCAGGUUCUGCACCUGGGCAUGAUUGGGUAAUUAGCCCAGUAGUAAUUAGCACUAUUUCAAAGCCGAGAUACACUUGGAACUGGUUUAAGGAAUUUACCCUGGUUCCAAACAGUGCUUGCAAUUGUAGUUAAAAUUAAAUAAAACCACCAGCUAGAAGUAGUAUAGUUAAAACAUGCCACUAAUAGUAAUAGUGCUAAAGUAAGUUACAAAUAACUUGGAUCAAUUCAAUAAUAAAAACAAGGCUAUACUUAACUUGCUUGAUACAGGAGGGUUUUUCUGGUAUUCAGUUCAGCUGGGAACCUCGUAAAGUGGUUGGAAUGGGCCCUGGUGCAGAAUUCUUAGAUGGGCCCCCCUUCUUUUCACACACACACCUAAAAGUUGGUUUCUUAUUCUGGUGCAGCUUGAAUCACCUGCACAUAUGAAAGCUACGCCCAUGGGUCUCUUGUAUUAUAAGUUAUGUUUCUGUUUUUUAAAGCACAGAUAGCCAUGGAUGAUCGAAUGCGUGAAGUGUACAUUUACCUUUCUGAUAACAAUUAUCCACCAUCUUACUCCAUGCUACAGAAGCUAACUUUAAGAAGAUAUGCUUCAAAUUUUCCAUUCAAAGUAAGUACAUUAAAUAGUGGACUCUUGCAUUCAAUGCUAGGUAUUAUACAACAAGGCCAAUUUUUCAGUUUCAAUAACCCUUACAUAUUUGAUUAAAUGUCACUGAAAUAUGUGGACCCUGCAAUGUGAUUUAGAAUACCUUAAACUCAUGCUUUUCUAAAUAAAGUUUUCUGGAAUUUCUUGGGACAAAUUGCUGAUAUGACAUAUCCUCCAACUAAACCACUGAAAUAAACAUUUGUUCCACUGAUUUAGAUGGAGAGCUGUAUUAUUCUGCAAAGGGAACAGCAAAAAAGGUGGUGAUGACAAGGGAGCGUGGCAGGGAACUGUUCCAAGAAUUCCACUGCUCUCCCAUGGGGGGGGGGCAUAGUGGAGUUUUCAAAACAAGAAAUGCCUUGUCAUCCAGAUUUUACUGGCCAGGAAUGAUGGUUGAUAUUAGGUACUGGCUCCAUGGAACAGGUUACUGCUGACAGGAGUUACUUCUCCCAAUGGAACCUCCCAUAAUGGACACCAAAAAUGUAACAAAAGUAAAAUUCACAUCUGUCUAUUACUACAAAAUGAAUUUAAUAACACUACUUUAUUUGAAAAAUAAUAAUUUAAAAUGUUUAGGCAAUUUCUUAUUUGUUCUCUGCAAUAUUAAUCGCAUCCUUGGAUUUAACAUUCUGCAUCUUGCAUACUGUUUAAUCUUCUCAGUAGUGCAACUGUGGUCUCAAAAGGCUGUUGGACAAAUUUAAGAUAUUGUCGGUCCAUACAAGCUGUAUGACACUUCAUUUGAAACUCUAAAAGAAUCCGCCUGGUUGUCAGAUGAGGUAAGGAAAUAUCUAAUUCAAACCAUUUGAACAGCCCUUUUUCAUGACAUAAUAAUACUGAUAAAAUACCUUCUGCUUAUACCGUUUGUGUGUGUGUAACAUUAGGUGAUUGAUUCAUACCUCCAUGUAUUAACAAACACACUCAAGGUAAGUAUAUGUUAUUUAAAUGAAUCUGAGCUUGCUUAAAUUCUCAAUAGUUCUCGUAAUUAAUCAGUUUUAAUUUUGACAUUACAAUGGAAUACAGAUCUGCACAAAUGAAUUACCCAUUUGUGUUAACUAAAGUAUCCAUACCUUUCAUUGUGUAUCUGCAUUUAUUACAAAUGUUUAUUCAUUCUUGGCAAUUUGUUCAGGUAACUUUAUAUUACAUUAGGAGUAAAACAUGUUUUCUUUGACCAGAAAAAGGUCUACUGCAUGACUGCAGUUAUUGCCACAUCAAUAUUAAAUGGAUAAUUCAGAUCUGUCAGAAAUGUACUAAUCAUGUAAUAUAUAAGCUGUUCUCAAAGAAAUUAGUAAAAUGUAAAUGUAACAUCAGGCCUUACAUUUUCAUACAUUUAACAGAUCAGAAUACAAGAACAUGCGAUUGUGCUGUGCCCUUACAAUACUAUCGUGAAAAUACUGUGGUCUUGAUUGAUCCACUGGGUGAGAAGGACAAGUAUAGCAGAUGAAUUAAGAAACUGGAGGAGUUUCGUGAGAGCUAAUGUGGACACAGGAAAUAAGACGGUUUGUAAAUUGCAGACUUUCAAGACUUUGGAUGGCAGCAGUUGUGGUGUUCUGAUAUUAAAUGUAAAAAGCUAACAUUAUUAUCUUAAAUCUUUUCGUGUUUAAUUUUUAAAUUACACCUUUGCUUUGUUUUUCAGUUUGCAGAACAGUACCUUACAAGCGGAUCAAUUGAUCAGGUGGAAACCAGCCCAGCAUCUAUAAGAGCAGAAAGACUGGAGAUUGCUGGCCUCCUUAUGGAAAAUCAGGGUAACAUAGAUGAAUACUGCAUAAUAUGCAGCAUGAUGGACCCGCAAUCAGCCAACACCACAAUUAACAUGGUGCAAUGUGAUCACUGCAACAGACGGGCACACACUGAAUGCACUCCGUACUCUGCCGAAGAGUUAUCGCAUGAUUUUUCAUUUAUGUGCAAAAAAUGUAAAGUCAAUGGGUAGAAGAAGGUCUUUGCUUUGUUCUUUUUUUAGUUGUUUAGUUCGGCUUCCACAGCAUGCUGGAGAAACCGAUUGUUAUUGCUGGGAUUUCUGUUGUUUUUUUUCUGCCACAAAAACAGUAAUCAGCUAUAAAUAAAUAAUAACUUCCUCAAGAUGUUGUCUAUGAUCUAUCUACCCUGCAAUCUAAAGCGACACACAGAGCCUUGUUUUCUGUCUUAGACACAUCUACAUUGCACUUCCAAAUGCACAUCACCAUUAUCAGUUUCAUUGUGCUGCCCCUCCAAAUGAGCUACCCUACAUUUCAAUUAAAACACAAUUUAGCCCAUUUGGAGCAGUCUUUUCUUCUCAUCCAAAUGAGCUACCCAGGAUUUUGAGGGUUAACCUGUACAUUUCAAUUAAAACACAGGGUAGCCCAUUUGGAGUGGUCUUUUUCUCCUAAUGAGCUUCCUCGCAUUGUUCUCUUUAGGUAGCUCAUUUGGAGGGGGAUGCGCAAAUGAUCAGACUAGUCUGAUAAUCUGUGCUACGGGAUGAUCAUUUGGAGGGGGAUGCUCAGAUGGUCAGAACACCGGCAGCUCGGAGAUCGAGUCACAGCUUUUGCUAUUUGAGAGGGGAGAGGGAUUUGUUUACUCCCCUCUUCAAAGUUAAGUUUUUUUUAUUUUUUUUUGUUUUAAGUUUGGAUUUUUUUCCUUUUUAUUUUAAUAGUUAUAUAUUUUUUUCUAUCACUGAAAGUACAUGUUGGUUUUGCGUUUUUUAUUAUUAGAUUGUUUCUUGCUUUUGCCCUGCCCCCCCCCCCGAACAUCUGUUGCAGUCGUUGUUUCCUGCACGCACUCUACUGGUUUGGACUAUUUGAACGGAUGGACUUUACAGACUGUUGAGCCCUGGAAAGAGACUGUC